rnacentral:rRNA from 1 species
GAUUGAACGCUGGCGGCAGGCUUAACACAUGCAAGUCGAGCGGGGGAAGUUGCUUCGGUAACUGACCUAGCGGCGGACGGGUGAGUAAUGCUUAGGAAUCUGCCUAUUAGUGGGGGACAACAUUUCGAAAGGGAUGCUAAUACCGCAUACGCCCUAAGGGGGAAAGCAGGGGAUCUUCGGACCUUGCGCUAAUAGAUGAGCCUAAGUCGGAUUAGCUAGUUGGUGGGGUAAAGGCCUACCAAGGCGACGAUCUGUAGCGGGUCUGAGAGGAUGAUCCGCCACACUGGGACUGAGACACGGCCCAGACUCCUACGGGAGGCAGCAGUGGGGAAUAUUGGACAAUGGGGGGAACCCUGACCCAGCCAUGCCGCGUGUGUGAAGAAGGCCUUUUGGUUGUAAAGCACUUUAAGCGAGGAGGAGGCUACUGGUAUUAAUACUACUGGAUAGUGGACGUUACUCGCAGAAUAAGCACCGGCUAACUCUGUGCCAGCAGCCGCGGUAAUACAGAGGGUGCGAGCGUUAAUCGGAUUUACUGGGCGUAAAGCGUGCGUAGGCGGCUGAUUAAGUCGGAUGUGAAAUCCCUGAGCUUAACUUAGGAAUUGCAUUCGAUACUGGUCAGCUAGAGUAUGGGAGAGGAUGGUAGAAUUCCAGGUGUAGCGGUGAAAUGCGUAGAGAUCUGGAGGAAUACCGAUGGCGAAGGCAGCCAUCUGGCCUAAUACUGACGCUGAGGUACGAAAGCAUGGGGAGCAAACAGGAUUAGAUACCCUGGUAGUCCAUGCCGUAAACGAUGUCUACUAGCCGUUGGGGCCUUUGAGGCUUUAGUGGCGCAGCUAACG